CAAACCUCACUUAGAGAGAACAUGGAAACAUGGACUCCGUGAACACAGCAACUACAUGAUGAUUGCACAGCGCAGAGAAGUGGGGGUCACUUCUAUGUGGUGCCCACACAGUUUGAAAACAGCCCCUUGUCUCCCUUGGAAAUCUCAUGAGCCACCACCCCACCCCCGCCGCCGCCGCCGCCGCCGCCGGGCCAGUGCUAGCAAGGGUCCAAGCGGGCAGCUUGACUGGAUUUUUGUUCAGAUCAGGCAAGCGUGCUGGCAGUGAGCAGAGCCAGCGAGAACGUGCAUUCCAGGCUCCUCUGCCAUUAGCCACGCAGCAGCUGCGGCCCAUGGCUGAAUUGUUCUUCAGUUUCCCCAGGAAGAAGGCCAGCAACACUAUAGAAUGAAAUCCAAGGAAAGAAUGAAUCAAUGGCCUCUAUUCCUUUUUCAAGACAGAUUGCUAGAUGCCAGAUAACUGUUUGUCGUAUCUUUCGAUUCUGGUCUGGUAUUCUAACUUGAUCCUCAAGGGCAAAUUGUCCUUCUCUGUUUGAUUUCUCAGAAACCACAAGAGCUCAACCAUGAAGAAUGGGGGCCAUACCAUGUGGAUCAUUUUAGAUAAACAGUGACCGAGACACUGACCCUAACGAGAACGAGGAGAGACAGGUAGAGGUGUAGAUCUAGG